GUUUUACUAUAAUCAAAAUCUUUCUCUUGAAGCUUCGUAAGUCUCCUCAGCAAAUUAAUUUUCACCGAGAUGGCUUUCAGAAUUACCAGCCAAUUGCGACCGGUCGGAAACCAAAUUGGUGGCUCUCGUCGUUUCGCAACCACAGUCGCCGAUGGCGCCAAACAAACAUAUAACAAGUUCUCUGUAACAGGAGAUUUUGCACCAGUGGCUAUAAUAGGAGGUUUUGUUGGUUUAAC